UACAGAGGUCUCAAGCGUUGUUCGGAUUCAUUGGGCGUAAAGGGUGCGUAGGCGGCGCGGUAAGUCGGGUGUGAAAUCUCGGGGCUUAACUCCGAAACUGUAUUCGAUACUGCCGUGCUUGAGGACUGGAGAGGAGACUGGAAUUUACGGUGUAGCGGUGAAAUGCGUAGAUAUCGUAAGGAAGACCAGUGGCGAAGGCGGGUCUCUGGACAGUUCCUGACGCUGAGGCACGAAGGCCAGGGGAGCAAACGGG
rnacentral:rRNA from 1 species